GCCCGAAUGGCGGAACUGGCAGACGCACACGACUCAAAAUCGUGCGGGAAACCAUGUGGGUUCGAGUCCCACUUUGGGCA
rnacentral:tRNA from 1 species